rnacentral:snoRNA from 1 species
AAGACUAUACUUUCAGGGAUCAUUUCUAUAGUUUGUUAUUAAUCUUUGACAUAUGUUUACUUUCUAUUUCCAUGGA